rnacentral:lncRNA from 1 species
ACUAACAAUUCAGAAGGAGCUAGAGGUUAUUUGGAAUUGCAUUUAUAACCAGCUUUGAUUUACAUAGUUUUAACCAUAUAAUAUACAGUAAUCUCCUAUGCAGAUCUUUUAUUUACUUCAGAAGUCUUAACUUUAUGUGCUCUGUGUUGAGAAUUAAGCUAAAUGUAAAAAAGAAAACUUCAGUGGUUGGAAAUGUUGUUUUAACAGUUCUGUACUUAAUUUUUAUUUGGAAUAAUAAUCUCAGUGUAAUUGUUAUAGCAACUUUCUUUCUUGGUUAUACCAUAUACCUAUCUAUUAUGUGUAUAUUUCCUGCCACUUCUGAGAAAUCUCUUAUUUAUAUUCCUUGUACAGAAUUUAUUUGAUAUUUGUCUCUUUUGCACUAUAGGUUGGCCAUAGUUUUGGAUACUUUCCAAAAGAUUUCAUCAAGGUAGCUUGUGAAUAUACUAAAGUAGAGCUACAAAUUCCAACAAAUGUAAGUUAUGGAUUUCUUUUUUGUUCUCAAUUGUAAACUGGCUUAUAAAUCCACCAGUUAUAUUCAGUUAACUGCUUCUGAAAGUUUUAUAAUGUGUUUGGGGGGCAAUCUAACAUUUGUGUAUCAGAUUUUCAUUUGAAAUCAGACUACCUGUAAAAAAAAAGUUUGAAAGGCAUUCAAGGGUGAUUAUAUUAUAAUCUGAAAGUUGUCUAAUAUGUUGAAACAGAUAUUCUUGUAGAAGGCUGUUUACUCAACUAUGGGGCUUUUCUCUUCUGUUUUAUAUGUGAAAAAUAAUUUAAUAUAUUUGUACUUGGCUAUUAAAUUUAAGAGGUAAAUAAUUUCAUUUUACAGGCAAAACUCAUUGGAUAGUUAUUAGACAUUUUAAGUAUAUUUAGGUUAAAUUAAUAAACUCUAACUUUUAUACUAGGCUAGAAAUAUGUACUUACAAAGGUUUUCUUAUUCUUAGUCAUAUAUGGGAUCAGUCAUGUUAUAGAUUUGGAAAAGGGGACCUGAGCGUUUCAGGUGAUGUUCAGUCUCAGAUCUUUUAAGGCCCCAACUGCUUCCUUUAUACAGCAUUCCUGUAUGGUGCUCUGACUUAAAUUGAUUUUGUGACUGAAAGGAUUUUGUGUUCUAGAAUUCUCACUUCAGCUGAUUAUUUUCUAAAGUUUUAAAUUGUAUAGUAAUGGAUGCCCACCAACAUUGAAACAUCUUUGGGCAGCUCUUUGUCGUGGCUGUAGAAUAUGCAAGCUGCUAGGCUAGGACAGUUCUUAGAUUAGAUGGGCUGAAUGGAUAAAGUCAUCCUGUUUGUUGCUGUUGUUCCUAAAAUUUCUUCAUAAUCUCGGGCCAUAAAAUCACUUCUGUUGCUUGUUGGACUUCAUUGUUGGUAAAGAGAGUUCUUGGGAUUUAAGCUGUGACAGCAGUUCACUGAUUACAGAGAACUCAUGUGUUUUGAACUCUGCCUUCUCAUUAUAUUUCCCAUUACAUGCAUCCCUCAUGGCUUAGAAAUGCAUGUGAUGGGGAGAGGAAAUCACUCAUCCCUCCUACAUUGAACUGCCUCCCCCACCCCCGGAACCCCCGCAGAAUAUUAUGAAGAUUUAAUUAGGAGAUGGAAUUUUUUUUUUUUAAUUUCCAUUCAUACUAUGGCUCCUUUUAUAUCAAUUUGCUUACUAGUGGCAAGAAGGAAGACUAGAUAAAUAUAUAGAUAGUCCUGAGAGAGAUCUUAGUGACUGUGAAACCCUGAUGAAGAGGAAGGUGUAUACCUUGUUGAAUCUUGUUUUCAGUUUGUUCUUGUGGUAAUAAUAAUGUGAGGAGCCUCUUUAAUAUCAUUCUUUAUUCCAUCAAAUGUACUUGUAUCUCAGUAAGAUACUUUAAAACUGGUUCAUCUUUCUCAAUGCUGCAGGAUCUUCCAGCUUCUCCUGAGCAAAUGAUUAAGAGUUAAAUUUCUGAAACAUAGGUGUAGAUAUUAAGAGCUGGAGGAUCCUAUGAGUGAUACCUUGCCUUUCCCUACUUAUGCUCAGAGCAAAUUGAGAGAGACCCAAGAGUCAGGCAGUUGGAGACCAAAUUGUCACCAUUUUUACUCAUUAUGCCUUUUAAAGAAUAUGACCCAUGUUAAAAAAAGAAAGAAAGAAAGAAAUAAUAGACUUUCUAACACUGUAGUCUAGAAAAAGACAGAUUUACUCAGCCAUAGAUGGAGUUAGCCAAUGGGGGUUGGAGGAGGGUAAUCUGGUUGACCCCAAAGAUUCUUUAGAACCAAUCCUGAAUUUGGGAGCAUGGAUGAGUUUACUUUUGUGACUCUUUGUUAUUGACACACUAAUGUUUUUCUUUUCCUUACCAGGAGACAGAUUUUGUCUGUUUUGAUGGUGGAAGAGAUGAUUUUGAUAAUUAUAAUGUAGAAGAACUUCUAGGAUUUUUGGAAUUGUAUGAUUCUGCAAAUGAAGAUUCUGAGAAAGCUAUAGAAAAAGUGGAACAAUUUCCUGAAGUCUCCCAGGACGUUGAACCUGAACCUAAACCAGUAGUAGCAAACUCAGAGCAAAUUGAAAGUGCAUUCUCAGAAAACACUAUGGAUCUUGAGGAACAAUUUUUGGCUCAGAAGAACCAUCCUCAUGCAUAUAGUCAAACAGAUAAUGCUCAGGGUGAACAAACUUCAUUUGAACCUUUUGAAGAAAUACUACCAGAUAAAUUGAAAGUGCCAGAAAGUGAAACCAACAAAACCAGCAAUAGUUCUCAGGUCUCAAAUGAACAGGAGAAGACUGAUGCUUAUAAGCUUUUGAAAAAAGAAAUGACAUUAGACUUGAAAACCAAAUUUGGCUCUACUGCUGAUACACUUGUGACUGAUGAUGAGAUGACCAGACUGGUGACUUCACUAGAAGAUGAUUUUGAUGAUGAGGAAUUGGAUGCUGAUUAUUAUGCAUUUGAUAAGGAAGAAGAGGAGAAUGAGGAAAGCUUUGGGGAGCUCCCGUUACUAACCUUUAUAAGUGAAGAAGACGUGAAAUUCCCAGUGGAGUUUGGAGUGCAGAAAUAUUCAAUAGGUGAAGAGCAGAAUUCAAAUGAAGAAGAUAAGGUUGGGGUAACUCUGCCCCCGGGCAUCAAGGAUGAUGAUAAAAAUAUACUGACAACCUUGGAGGAUACUUUAUUUAUUGGCACAGGUGGUGAUGAGAAAACAGAUAUGAUGGAUUUGGAGAAUUCUUAUUCAGAAGAAGAAAAAGAAAAUGAGGAAGCUUUAGUCCCAGAUAGAAAACAGAAGAAACCACAAGCAGCAACAGAUUAUAUUUAUCCUGAAAGUGCAGAAUAUGGUCUUUUUGUGGAAACCUCUAAGAUAGAUAAUGAUGAAGAGCCAAAAGUGGACAUCGAACUUCAUAUUAAAGGAAAAGAGACAGAUGUUCAGGAGCCUAAGAAGCACCUGAUGCAAGAUGUUUCAGAAUUAGAGGAUGAGAAGGUAGAAGGGAUGAUUGCAUAUACUUCUCCCCAAAGCAAUAAGCUCAGCUCAUUGCUAGCUGUUGAAAAGGACAAGGACACAUUAAAAUCAGCCUUUGAAAACAAAGAGGAUGACCUAAAAGAAGCAGUUAUCCAUACCUCAAAAGACUCAAAAGAAGUGAAUGAAGAAAUGUCUUCAUCUGGAGAGAAGAUUUUGGAAGAUAGCUUAGAGAAUAAAUCUCUACAUAAAACUGUAGGGAGUCUGAUGACCCAAGAACAGAGUAAACCACCAGAAUCCUUGGGUAUUACAACAUUCCUGGGAGAUAAUCAAAAUGAUGCAUCCAAAGAUGGAAUGGAAGAGCCAGGUUCAGUAAAUACACCAACCCUGCACAUAGACUCAGGGGAGCAUCAACCUCAGGAAAUUAAAGAGGGACUAGUUCUGAAAACUGAAAAUCAAUCUGGAUUCUCCUCUCCAGAUGGAAUUGGUUUGUUAAGAGAACCGGAAGAAGAGGUCCCCAGUCCCAGAAAAAAUCUUUCUUGGCAACAAGAAAGAGAUGUGGUUGUUACAGUUAGUCAAGUAAAUGAGAAGAUAGGGCUUUCCAAGGACGAGGGUAAAGAGCAGUCCUCGGCUGAAGAAUUGAUUCAGCCUAAGGCAACACAGGGGACACAGGAAAUAAAAAAAACAGAGCAAACUGACGAGGUAGAAGUACCAGGUCUCCAUACCGAAAGGACAGCAGCAGUAGAGGAGGAUUAUUAUCCCCCUGAAGAGCUACUAGAAGAUGAAAAUGCUGUAAGUGCAAAACAGUCAAAAGAAAAACAUUCUGGGAUUCAGAAUGUUAACCAGCACGUUCUUGAGAAAGCAAUUUUAGAGACUAUCAAUCCUGAUCUAGAAACCAAAGAAAACAAACAAAAAAUGAAUAUAAUUUGGAAGAUUUUUAAGAAAACUGAAACCACAUCCAAAAGGGUAGACAUGAUGGACAAGGAACGAGGUGAUAUGGAAAUGGGAAAGGAGGAAAGUCCUCUGGCAGAUGAGGAAGCCCAGGGACUCUUUGACGGAAGUGACGAAGAAAACACUCAGACUUCAGGGAUAAGUGAAGUAUUUCAGGAUAAAGCUUCUGACGAUCUUGAAAAAGACAACCCUAAGGAACAUCUGAACACUUUAGGGUCUACAGAAAAGGCUACUGGAAAAGAAAUCUCAAAAGAGGACCUUGAGGACGUAGGGCAUAUCACCGAUGCAAAAAGCCAGGGUCCUGCUUCUGCAGACCUUGAAGAUGAAAUAUUCCCACAGAGUCCACAUAUAGCCCUAAAGUCAGAGCUUAGCGAUCAGGAGGAAGACUUGCCCAUAAUCCGCAGCUUCUUUACAGAACAAAAGUCCUUGCAACGCUUCCUGAAGUACUUUGAUGUCCAAGAACUGGAAGCCAUGUUGCAAGAAAUGUCAUUAAAGCUGAAGUCAGCACAGCAGGAGAGCCUGCCCUAUAAUGUGGAAAAAGUUCUAGAUAAGGUCUUCCGUGCCUCUGAGUCACACAUUUUGAGCGUAGCAGAGCAAAUGCUUGAUAAUCGUGUGAAUGAUAAUAGAGACAUAGGAAUAAAGGAAAGUAACAUAUUUGAAGAGGCUGCAGUGCUUGAUGAUAUCCAAGACUUGAUCUAUUUUGUGAGGUACAAGCACUCCACAGUGGAGGAGACUGCUCCAUUGAUAACAGCGCCUCCUCUAGAGGAAAUCUUGGCUGAAGCUGAAGGUAAAUACCUGCCUUCGGCUUGAGCUGGAGAAAAGGAGUUGUUCCAUCCAGGUGUUUUCGUGUAUUAUUGUAAAGUUCUGUUCAGUUUCCAUGUGCCUAAAGGAGAAAGGAGGCUGACUCAGGGGCCCCAUAUGUUCCUUUAUUCAUUCUUUUGGGCUAGAGCGUGNA